CCUACGGGGGGCAGCAGUGGGGAAUAUUGGGCAAUGGGCGCAAGCCUGACCCAGCAACGCCGCGUGAAGGAAGAAGGCUUUCGGGGUGUAAACUUCUUGUAAGAGGGAAGAGCAGAAGACGGUACCUCUUGAAUAAGCCACGGCUAACUACGGGCCAGCAGCCGCGGUAAUACGUAGGUGGCAAGCGUUGUCCGGAUUUACUGGGUGGAAAGGGCGGGCAGCCGGGAAGACAAGUCAGAUGUGAAAUCCCGCGGCUCAACCGCGGAACUGCAUUUGAAACUGUUUUUCUUGAGUACCGGAGAGGUCAUCGGAAUUCCUUGUGUAGCGGUGAAAUGCGUAGAUAUAAGGAAGAACACCAGUGGCGAAGGCGGAUGACUGGACGGCAACUGCCGGUGAGGCGCGAAAGCGUGGGGAGCAAACAGGAUUAGAUACCCUUGUAGUC
rnacentral:rRNA from 1 species